rnacentral:rRNA from 1 species
UUAUAGAUGUAAAUUAAUUAAAACUAAAUUAUUAAUAGUUAUGAUCUUUAAAAUUAAAGAAUUUGGCGGUAUUUUAGUCUAUUCAGAGGAACCUGUCCUAUAAUUGAUAAUCCACGAUAAGUUUUACCAGUAUUUUUAAUUUGUAUAUCGUCGUUAUUAAAAUAUUUUAUAAGAAAAAUAAUAUUUAAAAUUUUUUUUAAAAAAAUAAAUCAGAUCAAGAUGCAGUCUAUAUAUUGGGAGAGAUGGGUUACAAUAAAUAAAUUUAUGGAUAAUUAAAUUUAAAAUUAGUUUGAAAUUGGAUUUGAAAGUAAUUUUAAAUAUUUAUUUAAAAUGAUUUAAGCUCUAAAAUAUG